UGCAAUGUUAUUUAAUUUUGUAUGACAAUAAUACCGUUACGUGCGACAUUGUUUAUGAUUAAUUGAUUGAUAAGCACCAAAGCAUGAAAAGUUAAUAAUAUAACUAGACAGACUUUUCAUUCCUGUUGACGCAAUCAUCAGAGUAUACUACAAUCAAAGAGGUUACCCUUACUUAGAAUCAGAAUCAAAUAAAUGGUUUUUCCAUUAUAAAAUUUUGAAAAACAUUCAAGUGUAUAUUUUUUAUGAGAAUGAUAUCAAAAACUAUUCGCACUUCCCAGUCCCAAAAGAAAUAUUGUUACUCUUAAGGGUUAUGCUGUUAAUAUCUCCCAUACGACAUACAGAAGAAUCACAGUACUUCUAUAGUUCAGUUCAAUGGAAAGUUGUUAAUAGGCCAGUUGUGUUUGGAGGAGACCUGAUUUUAAAAUGUAGAAUGCCAAUAUCUACGUUCUCCUGUGUUUCAACAAGCAGGUGGACGCGAGGUCAUGAUAAUGCAUUGAUUGCAUUUAACAAUGCCACAUACAACAAAAAGUACACGAGUGAAAGAAACAAUAUUUGUUCAGAUUAUUACCUCUAUAUACACGAUGUUAAUGAAUCAGAUAUGACAGACAGUUAUACAUGCUGGCAUGGAUACGUUAAUUUUACAAAAAUGCUGACUUUGGAGUCGGAUACAUUUGAAAAGCACCCUGAUUAUAUGGAUUUGCAAUGGACAUAUGGAGUACAAGACAAAACACUAGAAGCAAACUUUACAAUGAUAAACGUUUUCCCUGCACCAAAAUGCCAGUUUUACUUAGAGGAAGCUGAUGUUUUCCCAGAAAAUAAGCAGACAAAAGGUGUAUUCUACACUACAGAAUGGAAAAUAGUUCACACUGUUUACGCAAGACGUUGCAAUUUUGUUAUGACUCUAGAUUGUUACGUAGGUAACAAGAAAAUAUACCUUAGGAAGAAAAUUCAGAAAUGCAAAAACGAAUAUUACCAACUUAUUUUUCCUGGUUUGUUUGAUGCUGUAUUUAUAAUAGCGGUGUAUGGAGCUAUGUUUUACUUUUGCAUAUUUAAAAACAAGUAAACAGAAGAGAACAGACUGCAGCUGCAGACACUUUCGUAACGCAAUAUAUCUAUUGUUAUAUUUGGAAUUACUGACAUUUAUUUUUAACGAACUGAAAAUAAUUCUCAAACUUCAGAAAUGAAAUAACAACAACAACCUGGAUAUAAACUUUAAUUAGAAAAUUAACAAUUAUUUGGAUAAUUGAUGUUUAUAUAAAGGAUAAUUUAAGUUUUAGUCAUAAGAUAGGGUUCACCCUUUUUGAUUCUGAAACACAUUUGUGUGUUGGUGAUUUAGAAAUUUUUGAAGAUCACAUUUGGUUACAUUUGAAAAUAUCUAAAACAGAUAAUUUCAGACAGGGUGUUACUAUACCCUUAUACAAAAGUGGUCAUAUUAUUUGUCCUUGCAUUGCUGUUAAAAACUAUUUGUCUUUUCGGAAAAAUAUGCCAAGUAUAACAUCUUAUGCUCUGUUUGUCUCUGAUGAUGACAAUCCUUUAAGUAGACACUUUUUCAUCAAACAUGUCAAAAUUAUUUUAGACAAUUUAGGUCUUCAAAGCAAAAAUUAUAAUGGUCAUUCGUUCAGAAUUGGAGCAGCCACAACCGCACAAAAAUUAAGAUUAGAAGACCACUUGAUUAAAACAUUAGGCAGGUGGUCAUCAGAUUGUUAUACUAGGUAUAUUCAUACCAGCCCAUGAGUAAUUAAACAAGCUCGAAAUCAGCUAGUUUCAUCAGUUUCUUCGUCAUAACUAUUGUACUGGCGAUAAAAGGAGAAAUCAACUUGGGGCUACAGCUGCUAUGAAUCUGUAUUUGGACUUUUCGAUAAAAUUGUAUACUUUUAUCAUCAAUUUUUAUCUUAUUCCCCAAGUUUUUUGUAUAUUAAUUUUCAUUUAUAUGUUAAAAGGGGAACAACUCUUAAUGUUUAUUAUGUGUAUGCAGCUGUUAGUCCCCAGUUUUUCCAAUGUAAUAUAUAUAUUUUUUUUAUAUUAAAUAUUAGUUUUUAAUAAAUAGUUUUAUUAGCAUUGGAUCUUUAUUUAGUCUGAGGAUACAAUUAGUCCACAUUGAAAAACAACACAUAUAUACUUGGUCUCUUAUCACAAUACUGGAUAAUCAAAGGAGAUGCAAGGUAUACAUCAGUGAGAUAGUUUUGUCUUGGAAACAUACGACAUUAUUAAGGUCAAAUACUGUCUUCAACAAUAAAGUUAUUUCGCUCUUACGUUUAUGUUGGAAGGAUAAUCAUUGUCACCUGUCAACAUCAAGGAUGAAUAUAAAUUAACAGUUAUUUGGAUAAUGUAUGUUUAUAUAAAGGAUUAUUUAAGUUUUAGUCAUAAGAUAGGGUUCACCCUUAUGUACCUCUUUAUCAUGUUAGCCUCAUUUUCAACUUAGUUUGGGAUAUACGUCAUUUAUUUUGCUGCUUCCAGAUCAAUAGCAGUGCACUUUUUGUCAGAUAUUUUCAUUACGUUAUUGAUUGGAUUUUCACACUUUUAAAUUACCGACACCAUCCCCACCUCUCUCCUUUUGUUGCCAGUGCCUCUGGGGAUUAUAUAGUUAUUCAUUAUUAAUUUGUUGUAUAUACAUGAACUUAUAGCUGUAAUUUGAUGAUUCUUAAUUUAUACAUUGUAUUCACUUUUUACUUUUAAUUUAGAUAUUUGUUUCAUUUGAAUCAUGAUCUUCUAAAUGUACUUUGAUAUUUUGUACUACUCAUGCUGACAUAUGAGUUUCUUUUACAUCUUCUCAUGAUAACGUAAGAACUCUUUUAUUCUCUACUCAUGCUAACGUAUGAGUUUCUUUAUACUCCUCAUGCUGACGUAUGAUGUCUUAUUUUCUACUCAUCCUGACGUAUGGGUUUCUUAUAUACUUCUCAUACUGACGUAUGAGUUUCUUUAUAUCUUGUCAUGCUGACGUAUGAGCUUUUUAUUCUCUACUCAUAAUGACGUAUGAGUUUCUUUAUACCUCCUUAUGCUGACGUAUGAGGUCUUCUUUUCUACUCAUACUAACGUAUGUGUUUCUUUAUAUCUUCUCAUGCUGACGUAUGAGCACUUUUAUUCUCUACUCAUACUUACGUAUGAGUUUUUUAUACCUCCUCAUGCUGACGUAUGAGAUCUUUUCUCUACUCAUUGUGACGUAUGGGUUUCUUUCAUAUCUUCUCAUGCAGACGUAUGAGCUCCUUAUUCUCGACUCAUGCUGACGUAUGAGUUCUUUUAUAUCUUUUCGUGCUGACGUAUGACAUUUUUACUCUCUACUCAUGCUGACGUGUGGGUGUUUAAUUUUUAUUUCUGAUGCUACAUGUACAUAAGAGCUCUGAAUAUUUUCUCAUGUUUAAGUUUGAGCUCUUUUACUCUGUACUCACGCUGACGUAUGAUUUUAUGUUUAUUUUAUUUUCAUACUGAUGUAUGAACUUGUUAAAAUUUUACUCUUGCUUGAAUUUUCGAUAAAAUGGUAUACUUUUUAUCAUCAAAUUUUAUCUUAUCCCCCAAGUUUUCUGUAUAUUAAUGUUCAUUUAUAUGUUAAAAGGGGAGUAACUCUUAAUGUUUAUUAUGUGUAUGCAGCUGUUAGGCCCCAGUUUUUCCAAUGUACUAUAUAUUUUUUUUAUAUUAAAUAUUAGUUUUUAAUAAAUAAUUUUAUUAG